AGAAUACUCCCUCCGUCCGAAAAUACUUGUCGGAGAAAUGCAUAAAAAUGGAUGUAUCCAGAACUAAAAUACAUCUAGAUACAUCCAUUUCUCCGACAAGUAUUUUCGGACAGGGGGAGUAGAUA
rfam:Triticum aestivum genome assembly, contig: Triticum_aestivum_CS42_TGACv1_scaffold_435063_5DL